CGGGUCUGCUGGUAGACAAAACCAGCACCGAGAGAUAAAAGAAACAAUGGGAGGGAUUCCACUGAUUGAGGAAUGGAAACAGAGAUUUGCCUUUACAAACAAACCGUAGGUUCGCUGAUAAAUGAAAUUGGAUAUCGGAAGAUGAAAGAAGCAACGGGGAAUAGCUAUGAAUUCUGUAAGAAUUAAAAUUAAAAGGGAGGGUUAUACAUUAGAGGGGAAUCUCAGGUCCGGGAAGUCUGUGCCUCUCGAGUACCUCAGCCAAUGGGGAAAGAGAGAGGGAAAAGCGGCCGGGAAAUUGGGAUAAAAAGGGAGGCUGCGUCCUCCAAAAAUGUGAGCGAUCCCAGGGGAACGCCCCAUGGUCUCUGCCUUUAUUGGAAUAACGCAGAAAGGACCCCUCUGUCUCCUUUUUGGACAUUAACCCCUGGCGUUCGCGGGUUAAUUUUCCUGACGUGCCCCGUUUGCCGUCAGAGCGCGGGGCUGACUCCCAGUGCUCCCAGUCCCGUCCCAGUGCAUCCCAGGGGAUGCCCCCGGGAGCAGGGACCAUUCGCCUGCCGGCCCCGGGAGCCGCCCCCGGCCGGAGCCUUUUCACUUUCGUUUUUGGAGGCGUUUACGGGAAAUCAGGGGGAAGCGAGGCGGGGGCAGGAGCGAUUUAAGCGGGACCGCCCGGCGCGGAGCCGCUCGUCCCCGCCGUGCCCAGUCUGCGUGCCCACGGCUCAAGUCUGGCUCUUCCUCCCGAGCCCUCGGCUCCUGCUGGGACUCUGGGUGUCCCUCCCCCAGCUGUGCCACCGCUCUCGGUGCCCUGUGGCCACCUGCAGCUCAGCUCGCACCUGGCACUGCCGCUGCCCCCAGCCACCUGCACCAGAAUGAACAUUGAGGAAAACACACAGAAGACAAGAAAGAGUGACAUGGCUCUAAAUAUUGUGAAUGCAGUAACUGCAGUAGCUGCCUGUACGACUGAGAUAUUGCGGGCAAUCGACAAGAUACAGAGCGAGUGCAAGAGGAAAGAGAGGGAGAAGACCAGAAACAACCAAGAAUCCACGACCAAAAAGGACCUGGAAUCCAAGAUAAGCAGGGAAUUCCAGGACCUCGAGAAUAAAAUGGAAGCUCUGAGUAAAGAUUUCCAAAAAUGGGAGGGGUCCACACUGUAUGAUGUUGAGCUCCUCACAAAAGAGGUGGAGAAGAACCAAGGAAAGAGAGAGAAGGAAAAGGCACGGGCCCUGGAAUCCAAGUUGAGGAAGAAUAUCCGGCAGCUCUCCCGAAGAGUUGGAACUCUGGAAGAAGAUGUAUGGGAUUGGCCAAUAACAAUGAAGUUUGAGCUUCAGGUUCGCAGGGCAGAGCUGGAGAAGAUCGAAGGAAUGGAUGUGGAUGAUAUAGCAUUAGCCCUGGGAAACAUGUUGCGGAAGAACAAACGGCAGCUUUCUCAAAAAAUUUGGACUCUUGAAGAUGAUAUAAAGGAAUGUAUGGAUACCACGAAGUAUGAGAUUCAGGUUUUCAGAGAAGAGCUGGAGGAGAGGAACCGAGGUCUGAAAGUAAAGGGAAAACCAUUUUCGGAUUGUGCCUUCAUGGCCAAACAGAAUUCCAGUGAGGAACAAAUGAGGAGUGAAGUUCAUGGGCUUUGGAAUUCAGCAUGGAGACGGUCGUCCAGCAGCUUUUUUUUCCUCAAAUUCAAAUAUGAUUCAAGAAUUACAGGAGAGACAGUAAUGCCUGGAGGGGCUGAUCUGGAGCUGAGGCUAGAGCUAAAGGAAUAAAGUGGGUGUUUAUGGAAAGACCUUUGAAGGAUUCACCUUGGGCAGUACACGAGCCCGGCCCUGGUUCCACCCAGGCCGAAUGCAAGAUGGAGGCCGGCCAUGAGUCUUCACGAUUUUAUAAGUGUUGAUCCUUUUACAUAUCGUGGUUAGUUUUCCAAUUACGUCUUCAUUUUAUAAAGUCCUAUCCUCUCAGCUUGCUCUCUUUAAUUCACCGUUGUUUAUGCUUUUUUUGCUUUUUUAUUAAGGCUGUAAUGGCUGUCCUUGGUUCUCAGGCUGGAAAGGGAUUGUUUUGUCUAACUGAAGAGAACUUACUAACACUUUAUAUGAAGUUCAGAAUCACACACUAAGGCAGUACAGAAUCUAAAAAAAUAUGAAAGCUAAAACUUUUAGCAUCAUAGGUGCUGUCCUGAAAGGAAAAUGCCUUUAAAAAGAAAUUAAUUUCCUCUCCACCCCUCCCCUGUGCUCCUCUUAUUGCUGCUCACGGUGUGACAUGGAGUGGAGCAUCCCUUGGGUCAGUCCAGCCCAGCUGUGCCAUCCCUGCUCCCUCAGGGAGCACUCACCCACCCCAAGCCCGUGGGUCGGAGGGGGUCGCAGACACGCUCCUUGGGUUGAGCUCUGUGGCAAGGAGAGAACACAACAUUUCCUCCCAUCAAGGACAGUGGAACAGAACAGCACAGCCCUGGAGAAGUGGAUAAAGGAUGUAGCUGAGGCAAAACGCCAGCAGGAUGCCAGCUCAGCUCUGCAAGGCUGACAAAGCAAAAAUCGUGCAGAACAAUAACUCAAAAGUGGGGGUCGAGGAGCAGCCACCUAAAAAGGACACUGGAUGUUGAAGACAAACCCCAAAGAACCAUAUAAGGACUUGUGAUGAGGGUUACAACUCUGUCAAAUAAGUUCAAAGGAAGUGGGGAUAACUGAUGAAUACAUAAUCAGUGUGUGUGAUAAAAACUCUGUUUGCCUGAUGCCCAGUGCCCACGGCUGGAUGAAGGAUGGAGUGACCACCAUGCUGUAAUAAAGAAUACCUGCUUUCAAAUACUCAAAACUGUCUUCAGAAGUUUCUAUCCAGUGGAUUUUUCAGUAUCAGUGGUGUCCCUGACUCCAUCACGCUCCUCGCACAAUUUCACAAAGGCCCCUUGGUUCCGUGAGGCCUUGGAGUCACCACGGUCUCUUGGAUCUGCACUAUCGCAACGGACAAUUGGUUACAAGAAGCCCCGCUGUGUCCCAAUGAAUAUUUGGUUCCACGGGGCCCCACAGAAUCGCAACGGCCCCUCAGUUCCACGAGGUUUUGUAUUGGUCUCCUUGGUUCCGCAGUGCGAAAAGGGCGGCCUGGUUCCGCAAGGCCCCUGGGUUCCACGAGACUCUGCAGUGUCACGAUGCCCCAGAGUUUCCACCGGCUUCUGUCCCAUCAGCCGUGUCUUUUGUUCCAGUGAGGCUCCUCAGGGUCACAAUGGCCCCUUGGUGCCAUGAGCUUCCAUAGCCUGACACGGCUCCUUGGUUCCAGGAGGUUCUGCUGUGCCACAAUGGCCCCUUGGUUCCACGAGGUUCCAAAAUGCCGCCGUGCCCUCCCGGGAUCUGCACUGUCACAGUGGUCUCCUUGGUUCCAUGGGACCCUGCUGUGUCACAAUAAACCAACCCUUGGUGCCACGAGGUUCUGCGGUGUCACAAGGGUCUCCCUGGACUGGUGAGACCCUGCAGUGUCACAAGGGUCUCCCUGGACUGGUGAGACCCUGCAGUGUCACAAGGGUCUCCCUGGACUGGUGAGACCCUGCAGUGUCACAAGGGUCUCCCUGGACUGGUGAGACCCUGCAGUGUCACAAGGGUCUCCCUGGACUGGUGAGACCCUGCAGUGUCACAAGGGUCUCCCUGGACUGGUGAGACCCUGCAGUGUCACAAGGGUCUCCCUGGACUGGUGAGACCCUGCAGUGUCACAAGGGUCUCCCUGGACUGGUGAGACCCUGCAGUGUCACAAGGGUCUCCCUGGACUGGUGAGACCCUGCAGUGUCACAAGGGUCUCCCUGGACUGGUGAGACCCUGCAGUGUCACAAGGGUCUCCCUGGACUGGUGAGACCCUGCAGUGUCACAAGGGUCUCCCUGGACUGGUGAGACCCUGCAGUGUCACAAGGGUCUCCCUGGACUGGUGAGACCCUGCAGUGUCACAAGGGUCUCCCUGGACUGGUGAGACCCUGCAGUGUCACAAGGGUCUCCCUGGACUGGUGAGACCCUGCAGUGUCACAAGGGUCUCCCUGGACUGGUGAGACCCUGCAGUGUCACAAGGGUCUCCCUGGACUGGUGAGACCCUGCAGUGUCACAAGGGUCUCCCUGGACUGGUGAGACCCUGCAGUGUCACAAGGGUCUCCCUGGACUGGUGAGACCCUGCAGUGUCACAAGGGUCUCCCUGGACUGGUGAGACCCUGCAGUGUCACAAGGGUCUCCCUGGACUGGUGAGACCCUGCAGUGUCACAAGGGUCUCCCUGGACUGGUGAGACCCUGCAGUGUCACAAGGGUCUCCCUGGACUGGUGAGACCCUGCAGUGUCACAAGGGUCUCCCUGGACUGGUGAGACCCUGCAGUGUCACAAGGGUCUCCCUGGACUGGUGAGACCCUGCAGUGUCACAAGGGUCUCCCUGGACUGGUGAGACCCUGCAGUGUCACAAGGGUCUCCCUGGACUGGUGAGACCCUGCAGUGUCACAAGGGUCUCCCUGGACUGGUGAGACCCUGCAGUGUCACAAGGGUCUCCCUGGACUGGUGAGACCCUGCAGUGUCACAAGGGUCUCCCUGGACUGGUGAGACCCUGCAGUGUCACAAGGGUCUCCCUGGACUGGUGAGACCCUGCAGUGUCACAAGGGUCUCCCUGGACUGGUGAGACCCUGCAGUGUCACAAGGGUCUCCCUGGACUGGUGAGACCCUGCAGUGUCACAAGGGUCUCCCUGGACUGGUGAGACCCUGCAGUGUCACAAGGGUCUCCCUGGACUGGUGAGACCCUGCAGUGUCACAAGGGUCUCCCUGGACUGGUGAGACCCUGCAGUGUCACAAGGGUCUCCCUGGACUGGUGAGACCCUGCAGUGUCACAAGGGUCUCCCUGGACUGGUGAGACCCUGCAGUGUCACAAGGGUCUCCCUGGACUGGUGAGACCCUGCAGUGUCACAAGGGUCUCCCUGGACUGGUGAGACCCUGCAGUGUCACAAGGGUCUCCCUGGACUGGUGAGACCCUGCAGUGUCACAAGGGUCUCCCUGGACUGGUGAGACCCUGCAGUGUCACAAGGGUCUCCCUGGACUGGUGAGACCCUGCAGUGUCACAAGGGUCUCCCUGGACUGGUGGGACCCUGCAGUGUCACAAGGGUCUCCUUGGCUCCAUGAGGAUACAAAAGCUUUGCACAGACACUGAGCAGCACCUGCCCAACACACCUGGGAACAUCUGUCUGCACUCAAACGAGGGGUUAAAGGUGAGGAUGGCACCGGCAGCUUCCACCUGCGCCUGGCGUUUGUGGGUUAAUUUUCCUGACAGCAGCUGUGCAGGAGCCCCAGGCUGUGAGCAGGAGCUGCAGUGCUG
rnacentral:lncRNA from 12 species